GAUGAAGAACGUAGCGAAAUGCGAUAAGUAAUGUGAAUUGCAGAAUUCCGUGAAUCAUCGAAUCUUUGAACGCACAUUGCGCCCUCUGGUAUUCCGGGGGGCAUGCCUGUCCGAGCGUCAUUUGCAACCCUCAAGCCCGGCUUGUGUGAUGGGUGCCGUCCCCUACGGGACGCGCCCCGAAGACAAUGGCGGCGUCGCGGUUAUCCGAUCAGCCAAAGUGUAUGGGGCUUUGUCACUCACUUUACGGCCCGGACCGGCGCCAGUCCGAAUCAAUCUUUUUUCUAAAGUUGACCUCGGAUCAGGUAGGGAUACCCGCUGAACUUAAGCAUAUCAAUAAGCGGAGGA
rnacentral:misc_RNA from 1 species